rnacentral:rRNA from 1 species
UACGUAGGGUGCGAGCGUUGUCCGGAAUUACUGGGCGUAAAGAGCUCGUAGGUGGUUUGUCGCGUUGUUCGUGAAAAACCGGGGGCUUAACCCUCGGCGUGCGGGCGAUACGGGGCAGACUUGAGUACUGCAGGGGAGACUGGAAUUCCUGGUGUAGCGGUGGAAUGCGCAGAUAUCAGGAGGAACACCGAUGGCGAAGGCGGCUUGCUGGGCUCGGUCUGACGCUGAGGCGCGAAAGCGUGGGGGAGCGAACAGG